rnacentral:tRNA from 1 species
UGGCUUAGUGGUGAAGCGCUUGGCUUCCGAGCCGAGUGGUCCCGGGUUCGAAUCCUGG